CUAACACGGCUGCUACUCUGAAACCUUAGCUAGAAUCAGGAAAGAAAAUCUUUCCUUGCAAUGGAUGCACUGUAUCAUACAUAGAGAGACACUUGCUUCAAAAAAGAUGAUUUCUUUGCGGCCGGAAGUUUUAAAUGAGUGUCAAAAUUGUCAACUUUAUCAAGUCCAGGCCACUCAAUGCUCACCUGUUUCACAUUCUUUGCAAAGAGAUGGGGCAGAACAUCAGCACCUGUUGCUUCACACAGAGGUUUGCUGGCUUUCAAGAGGGAGAGUACUUGACAGACUGUUUAAAUUACGCACAGAAGUUCACGCAUUUCUUUCUGAUCUUUCAUCCCCUCUUACCUCUGUUUGACAACACUGUGUAGUUAGCUCAACUUGCCUACGUUGCAGAUAUAUUUAGCAAGCUGAAUGAUCUAAAUUUGUCCAUGCAAGACCGUGACACUAACGUUCUGAAUCUCUAUGACAAAGUGAAUGCUUUUAU